CCUACGGGUGGCAGCAGUGGGGGAUAUUGCACAAUGGGGGAAACCCUGAUGCAGCGACGCCGCGUGGGCGAAGAAGUAUUUCGGUACGUAAAGCCCUAUCAGCAGGGAAGAAGAAAUGACGGAACCUGAGAAGGAAGCACGGGCUAAAUACGUGCCAGCAGCGGCGGAAAGAGGAAGGGUGCAGGCGUUAUCCGGAUUAACUGGGUGUAAAGGGAGCGAAGUCGGCACGGCAAGCUGGAUGUGAAAGCCCGCGGCCCAACCGCGGGACUGCAUUGGGAACUACCGGGCUGGAGUGCCGGAGAGGUAGGCGGAAUUCCUAGUGUAGCGGUGAGAUGCGUAGAUAUUAGGAGGAACACCAGUGGCGAAGGCGGCCUACUGGACGGUGACUGACGCUGAGGCUCGAAAGCGUGGGGAGCAAACAGGAUUAGAUACCCGUGUAGUC
rnacentral:rRNA from 1 species